ensembl:lncRNA
UAGAGAAGGUGGAAAUUGAGUGGAAUGAGUUGAGUGGAAUUCUCAAACCAGGUGAAGCUUCAAAAACAGCCAUUAUGUCUAUAUGCUGGCAGCUGGCUUUUACCCUUUUAUCUGCAUCUCUUCCUCCUUCCUGGUGGCUGGAAUGCAGAUGUGAUGGCUGUUUUUAUACCGUGAGCAACAUUGGGAGUGGAAGACGGAAGGAUGAGGAACCAAAUAAAAGGAAUGGGAGGGUGGGUAACUAAAAGCCCCGUAGAGCCCAGUUGUCGUACCAUCACAGGACGGCCCACGUCUGCACUUGGACAUGAGAAAUUAAUGGUCUUUUGUUUAAACCAUCGUUUUGCAGGAGUUACUAUUACUUGCUGUUCAAUCUAAUCUUAACCAAUACAAGCAUGCAGAGUGAAAACAGGAUAAAAACAGAACCCGAGGGAGGAUUUUAGCUGUAGAGUGGAGGAAAAUCAGACUGAGAAGAAAUAAUCAAAGAGAAGGAGGAAAACCAGCAGAAAACUAUACCUGGAAAACUAAAGAAAUAUUUAAAGGAAGGGAGAAAUAAAGCAUCAGAUAUUACUGAAUCAGCUGAUAGAACGACCAAGAAGUAUCUAAUGGUAGGCCUAUAUUUCUCAACUUUUAAUGUGUGUAGGAAUCAUUCGGUGUCUUGUUAACAUGCAGAAUAUAAUUCAGUAGGUCUGGGGUGGGGCAGUUCUGACAAGCCUCCAGGUGAUGUCGAUGAUACUGGUCGGCUCACAGCGGCAAAGGUUUAGGCCGGAGUGGUUCUCAAAGAGCAGUUCUUGAACCGGCAGCAUCAGGAUCACCAGGGAACUCGAUAGGAAUGCACGUUCUGGCUCUCACCCCAGAUCCACUGACUCAGAAACCCUGGGGGUGGGGCAAUCUGUUUUAACAAGACCACCAGGGCAUUCUGAUGCACAUUGAAGUCUGACAGCCACUGGUGAGAGCAAUGAUAAUAAUAACAGUGACUUCCACAGAUGUUGAUCACCAACUGUGGGCCAGGCCCUUUCACACUUUUCUUACGUUAUCUUGUUUGGUCCUCACAACAAUCCAUUUUAUCAAUGAGGAAACUAAGACUGAGAAGUUAAAUACAUUCUCAAGGUCACAAGACUGGCUAGUGGUGGAUCCGGAAAACCACGUCUGUCUGACACCUACGUCCAUUCUCUGGCCACUUUGCCAACUCACCUUCAAGGGUCAACGGUGAUAUUAUCAUAAACAAUUUCAGCAGGGAAUGAAGACAGAAGCCAGAUUGCAGUGGCUUUGAAAGACAGGAAGUGGGAAAGGUGAAAAACACUUUAUCAACAACUUUGACUUUGAAGGAGAAAAGAGACAUAGAAUGAAAACCAGAAGCCUAAAGACAGCAGCAUGACCCAAAAACUUCCUGGUCUCUCCACCGUGGACAAUCAGGCCACUGGAAAGGGAGAUGAAACUGAAGGCCUCUGCCCUCUGAGAAGAUGAACAGAACUCACCAGAGGAAGGAAGGGAGGAAGAGAACAUUUCUUUUCUGUCUUGGCGCCUUUGGAAGUAGGGCCAUUACCAGUGGACCACUAGGAGGCAGCACAGAACCGGGAACCAGGAACCUCGGGUUUGGUCCUGCUUAGCACCAGCUGUGUCUCACUGACUGUCACCUAAACUCUCUGAGCUUCAGUUUCCUCAUCACAGCCAUGCCAGGGUUUUGAUAUAGUUAUUGUUAGUGUUGUUUUCAGGAUUUGUUGAGACUAUGACCCACUUGGGGGGCGAUGUGCUGGUGGACAUGGGUUGGAAACUCCAGAGUGGUCCACCAAGGUCUGUGUGUUUGAAGGAAGAUGGAGCCUCCUGGGGACUCUCUAGUCUAAGGCACAGUGGCAUGAUCCAAGCUCAUGAGAGGGUCAGGAGAGGGAGAGACUUUGAGUACAACCAGGGGUGUGCUGCUCACCCAGCCCUCUAGCUUCCCCUUACAUCUCAUGUAGGAUGUGAUGUCAAUUCUUGCGGCAGGGCGUGUGUAGAUAAACAUCAGUCUGUUCAUUUGUAAGAAGACGUUACCAUCUCCAGGAUCCGAAGACUCACAUCCCUGCACUCAGAACAUUCUCGUCCUUUGGGAAGACUGACAUGAAAAGCCAGAUGAUAAUCAGAAGGUUGCUGGGUGACAACUGUUGAAGAGCAUCUGGAUCUGAUGUGUCUGUCUCCCAUAGACACGGCCUUGUUGGUGGGACCAGAAUGUGUGAAGUCUGACAGCUAUUGCCCCCUUUCAGCUCUUGGUGUGGCAAAUACACUGCCCACCUGUGCUGUUUUGUGACGUUACUUUCAUCCACGGGCCUGGGAAAAUGACGGCUGUGUAUCUUUAAAAGAACUCAAGUAAAUGACCCCUGAUUUCUCUCCUGGGUUAGUAUUUGUGCUUCGGUAGAGUCACCGGGCAGCAGCAUAGCUUAAUGGUAAAGUUCUAGCACUGAAGGCAGCCUGCCCGGUACAGAUCUGGACGCUGUGACCUGCCAUGACAGCUGGGCAAAUUACUUAAUCUCUCUGUGACUCCACCUUCUUCAUCUCUAAAAUGGGAGAAUAAUAGUAUGUACGUUCCAAAAUUGUGAUGAAGAUUAAAUGAACUAAUACAUAAAACAUUUGACAUAGUGCUUGCCACAUAGUGAAUACUUAAGUUUUAGCCGUUUUGAGAAUGUACUUGCCCGUUUUCCUUGCCAUUUUUUUUAUGGCCUUAAUGAGUUUAAUAUAAGUAAUGACUUAUUUUUGUCCAUAACAAGGUGGUGUUAUAACAUGGUUCAGUAUUUAAUAUACAGAUACUGAUUAGUUGGUUGGCAUAGCCAAUUUUUUAGCAGAAGUAUUUAAUAUAUACAUGCUGAUG